AUACGAACUGUGCAAACGUUAUUCGGAAUCACUGGGCUUAAAGGGUGCGUAGGCGGGUUUGAAGGUCUGAUGUGAAAGCCCACGGCUCAACCGUGGAAUUGCGUUGGAAACCACAAGCCUUGCGGGAGUCAGAGGUGAGCGGAACUAAUGGUGGAGCGGUGAAAUGCGUUGAUAUCAUUAGGAACACCGGUGGCGAAAGCGGCUCACUGGGACUCUUCUGACGCUGAGGCACGAAAGCUAGGGGAGCGAACGGGAUUAGAAACCCUAGUAGUCC
rnacentral:rRNA from 1 species